rnacentral:rRNA from 1 species
GUCGAGAAUCUUUCACAAUGGGGGCAACCCUGAUGGAGCGACGCCGCGUGGAGGAUAAGGUCUUCGGAUUGUAAACUCCUGUCAUGCGUGAACAAGGUUGCUUGGAUAAUACCUGAGCAAAUUGAUGGUAGCGCAAGAGGAAGAGACGGCUAACUCUGUGCCAGCAGCCGCGGUAAUACAGAGGUCUCAAGCGUUGUUCGGAAUCACUGGGCGUAAAGGGUGCGUAGGUGGCGUGGUAAGUCAGAUGUGAAAGCCCGGGGCUCAACCUCGGAACUGCAUCCGAUACUGCCAUGCUAGAGUACUGGAGAGGUGACUAGAAUUCUCGGUGUAGCAGUGAAAUGCGUAGAUAUCGAGAGGAAUACCAAAGGCGUAGGCAGGUCACUGGACAGUUACUGACACUGAGGCACGAAGGCCAGGGGAGCGAACGGGAUUAGAAACCCGUGUAGUCC